GUUUGUCCCAGUGGUGUUGCCGUAGCCGUAGCAUUGCAGCUGCUCUCGCUGCGUCAUGGCACAGAUUGUUACAGUGCUGUGUGUGGCUUCAUAAUAACUGGCGAGACGUCCAAAAAAUAUUCCAAAAUGUUGAAAGAGUUGGUGAAGGCGAGGUUAAUGGUGGCGGCCGACGAAAUAUUUGCUCUGUUUGAAGGAACGAUAGCGUCGUACGAGGAGGAACUUUCUCGAACAAAAGAGGAAAACGAGCAGCAAAGACAACAACUGGAAGCUGUUAGCAAGAUUGAGUUACACGUUGAAGGUCGCGGAGGCAGCAGCCUGAGCAAGGAAGCUCAGACUUCCCUCUCCCCAGCCACUUCGUCCAGCCCCUCCUGGGGGAUCCCGAGGCGUUCCCAGGCCAGCCGGGAGACAUAGUCUUCCCAACGUGUCCUGGGUCUUCCCCGUGGCCUCCUACCGGUUGGACGUGCCCUAAACACCUCUCUAGGGAGGCAUUCGGGUGGCAUCCUGUCUAGAUGCCCGAACCAUCUCAUCCGGCUUCUCUCGAUGUGGAGGAGCAGCGGAUUUACUUUGAGCUCAUCCCGGAUGACAGAGCUUCUCACCCUAUCUCUAAGGGAGAGCCCCGUUGCCCGGCGUAGGAAGUUCAUUUGGGCCGCUUGUACCCGUGAUCUUGUCCUUUCGGUCAUAACCCAAAGCUCAUGACCAUAGGUGAGGAUGGGAACGUAGAUCAAUCGGUAAAUUGAGAGCUUUGCCUUCCGGCUCAGCUCCUUCUUCACCACAACGGAUCGAUACAGCAUCCGCAUUACUGAAGACGCCGCACCGAUCCGCCUGUCGAUCUCACCAUCCACUCUUCCCUCACUCGUGAACAAGACUCCGAGGUACUUGAACUCCUCCACAUGGGGCAAGAUCUCCUCCUAUAUAGCUGUAAUUCACUGAAAUUCAAGUAUUUCUUCUCUGUAUGUAUGUAUGUAUGUGUGUGUAUGUAUGUAUGUAUGUAUGUAUGUAUAUAUAUGUAUAUAUAUAUAUAUAUAUAUUGUUUAUAUAAAUAAAAGAAGGAGGACAGGGAUGAUGUUCGUUAAGAAAUUAUCGAUGUCAAUGCCAUUAGCGAAUCCUCUAAUCGAAUCCAGAUAGGUUGUUGUGUGUACACCUUGUGCGUGCACUGAGUUCCAAAAGAUGUUAAGUGACUCGGCCGGCACACUGUUUAUAUGGAGGAAAAGCGGACGUGGCUGAGGACAGCAAUGCUGACGUUACUGAGGACAGCAUGCGGCCGAUAAAGGGUGAAGGUUUCAGAUGAGAGAGGACGCUAAAGACACACCCCCAUAUUGUUGUCUGGGUGGAAAUCUGGAGAAAUUUGUGAGAAUGGUUACCCCGGGAGACAUAUAAUAUAUACGAUAUAUAACAAUUACCAUGUACAAUAUCACAGUAGAUGUAACAGCUGCAGCAUAAAAUAGAGAGUAGAUCGUCUGCAUUUUUUGUCCUCUGAUUGUUUGAUCAGAGCAAAGCUGCCCACUAUGGAUGUCAGACAAGAAAUGUAGUUGGGGUCAGAAAUACUGAAAAAUAUAUUUUUUAAGGUGGAAAUUUCGGUAAAUUAUAGAGAUCGUAAGCAGUGUUAGGAAAAACUGCCUUACUUUUACUAGUACCGAGUAAUCUAGUUUAACGUACAUUACAAAGCCGUUACCGAUUCGUUUGAUGUCAUGUGGCUGCUUUUCUGAUAUAUGUGAACAAGACGGGGUCAGAAGCACAGCAAGUUCACUGCCUAAAUUAAAGGCCUACUGAAAUGAGAUUUUCUUAUUUAAACGGGGAUAGCAGGUCCAUUGUGUGUGUCAUACUUGAUCAUUUCGUGAUAUUGCCAUAUUUUUUCUGAAAGGAUUUAGUAGAGAACAUCGACGAUAAAGUUUGCAACUUUUGGUCGUUAAUAAAAAAGCCUUCCCUGUACCAGAAGUAGCAGACGAUGUGCGCGUGACGUCACGGGUUGUGGAGCUCCUCACAUCUGACCGUUGUUUACAAUCAUGGCCACAAGCAGCGAGAGCGAUUCGGACCGAGAAAGCGACGAUUUCCCCAUUAAUUUGAGCGAGGAUGAAGGAUUUGUGGCUGAGGAAAGUGAGAAUGAAGGACUGGAAAAAAAAAGACUAUACAGUGGGAAAGAUUCAGAUGUUAUCAGACAAAUUUACUGGGAUAAUUCUGGAAAAUCCCUUAUCUGCUUAUUGUGUUACUAGUGUUUUAGUGAGAUUGUAUGGUCGUACCUGUACAACCUGAAAGUCGGCCCACACCUUUCUUCAGCACCAGUCGACGGGUGGUGGCGAUACCCAUCUCUGCCUUUCGCAAGGGACCCUCUUCGACACACGAUCUUUCGAAAGGAUGGCUGCAUAAUACACUGUACUUUGUGUGUGUGUGGUCCAAUCCAACCGUGUUCGCUUGACCGCUCUGUUCCAUAGUAAAGCUUCACCGUCAUCUUUUGGUAAUGUAAACAAUGAAACACCGGCUGUGUUUGUGUUGCUAAAGGCGGCCGCAAUACACUGCUUCCCACCUACAGCUUUCUUCUUUGACGUGUCCAUUAUUAAUUGAACAAAUUGCAAAAGAUUCAACAACACAGACGUCCAGAAUACUCUGGAAUUACGCGAUAAAAACAGACUACUUAUAGCUGGGAACGGUGCUGGAACAAAAUGUCUUUUACAAUGCGUGACUUCACGCACACGCGUCGUCAUACCGCAACGUUUUAGCAUGAUACUUCCUUGCGAAAUUUAAAAUUUAAAUUUAGUAAACUAAACCGGCCGUAUUGGCAUGUGUUGCAAUGUUAAGAUUUCAUCAUUGAUAUAUAAACUAUCAGACUACGUGGUCGGUAGUAGUGGGUUUCAGUAGGCUUUUAACUUUUUACUAAUUAAAGCAACAACCAACACCGCAACACAAUAAACAACAUCACGCUGCAAACAAUAUGCAGGCAAAGUAGACACACACUCUGACUACCACUAUGAGGGAAUAAUGCAUGACAACUCAAUGAUUAAAGUGACAAGCUUGAACUCUUACAAAAACCAGUUUGUGAACAAAAACAUAAGCCAGCCAUCGAAGCAGAUUCAGUCACUUUGUGAACUAGCGCUAACAUAAUCCAGUAAAUAGAAAACUGCCGCUGCUAAGCAAACCAACAAAGCUGAGUAACAAUGCUGCUCCAAAUACGCUCUUGCUGACGUCACAUGUCACUUCGCAACAGGCAUCUAUCUCCUUUUAGAAGGCGCGCACAUAGACACCCUGCUCUCAUGAAAUGUUGCUCAACUAUAUAUGCCUGAUAUUUGAUUUUUUUCCCUUAUUUUUAGGUAAUGCAAUAAUUACUUUUCCUUGUAAUUAAUUACACUUAUGAAAGCUUAAUUCCGUUAGUAAUUUAAUUACUUUUUUUGGUAAAGUAACAAGUAACUAUCAUUAGUCACUUUUUAAAGGUAAUUUUUAAAGAAAGGGCAACCAACCCCAAAGCUGGCUAAUUUACCCUACUGUUAAGAAUGGAAUGGAUUGAUUUUAUAUAUUAAUACUCACCAUCUCCACGGAAUAUGAUGUAUUCUUUUCAGGUUAUGUUAUUUACGUUUUAGAUAUAUAUUGAUGUUUGUUACAUUUGGCCGCAACCAUAUUUACAGACCGUUUUUACUAUCCAACCAUCCAUUUCUUACCGCUUGUCCCUUACAAUGCAGAAUUACAAAAUAUAUUUAACUUGUUUCAGUUUAAUAGAUUAAAAGUAAACUGGGUUUUUUGCAUUUAUCUUUGAUUUAUUGAUUGAAUCGUUUAUUAGUAUAUUGCACAGUACAGUACAUAUUCUGUACAAUUGACCACUAAAUGGUAAAACUCUAAUAAGUUUUUCCAACUUGUUUAAGUUGGGGUCUACGUUAAUCAAUUCAUUAGGUUUAGUUGACUUCCUGUGUGAAAGAAAGGGAGGUGUUAGAAAAAAAAAUAUAUAUACGUGUCAAUAAGCAAGUAAAAAGCAAGCAUAAUCCUUAUGGGCUACAGAUGUGGGGUUUUUUUACUUUCUGAUUUGUAAUAGCUGACCAGGAAGGUUUUAUAAGUGGAUUUUGAGUGAGCACUCCAUUUCUGACUGCUUAGCUUGGCUCCAAGCGCCACAUUUAUGCCUUCCUCGCUCUCUGGGCUUUGUUUUGCUCCGACCUUUUGCCCUCUCUUCAUGCUUGAUAAGAACCAGUCAUUCAUCCUCCGUAUAUUCAGCUUCAAAAAGACUAAAGUUUUGAAUCCUCAUUGUCCAAAAAUAGCCAUCUUCGUCAUCUAUUAUGAAGUCUGUCAUUAUAAGAAAACACAACACACGUUUGGUUGCUGGAAGUAGAAGACAUUCAUUUGCUGGUGUAAGUCAGAAGUUCUAUGGGCAGGGAAAUAAAUGCGGCAAGGAAAAAGGUUCCGGUAAUGUUUACAAUGACCAAAAUACGGUAAAUAUUGUACAUAUUACAUAUUGUUAUCAAUAUGUCUGCUACUAUGUUUUAUACAUACUUGCAGUGUGUCUAUAAAACGUUGAUGGAGGGUGUUGAAAUGGUUUUAGAGGGCUCUGCAGGGUACAACUCACAUAAGCCGCAUCUUGCAAGCGUUUUUAUUUUGUCUUCUUAAAUCCUAAAUAAAGCAAAAACAUAUUUGUUGUCUUAUUACAUCAGGAUUGUGAAAGAUAAGAAAAAUCUUACCAAAAAAGUGCGGUUCCCCUUCUAAAUUUGUAGAAUAUUUCAUAAUCUUUAUGUUAGGUCUUGGCAAGAAUGAGGACUCAGGUGCAGAAGAGAGACAAUUGACUCAGACUUUAUUUGGACAGUUUUCUUUUAUAUCUCUUGGACAGGGUGAUUAAAACAAAGUGGCUACAAAAUCUAUCUUUGAUACAUUCGAGUAACAAAGGAUAUGUAGCAUAGGGCGUAAGUCAAUAAACGUAAAAUCACUCCAUAGGAGGAAAAAAGAAAUAGCAAAGUUGUACACAAAUCUAAUAAAAAAAACCCAACAAUCUAUGAUUAUCUACAAAAAAGGUAAAUCACUCAUGCUGAGGAGUCGAGAAGCUAUAAACAGAAAGUAUGUUAUAAAGUGCUGAGAAGACUGCAAACCAUGGCCGGCUCUACGCAGGGGCAAGAGGGGGUAGAGCCCCGUUAAAUAAAUGUCUUGCCCCCUCAAAUCAAAAUUUGAGAAAGCAAAUUUGAAUAAACUCACAAAAUUACUACAUUACAAGUUGACAAAAUUAUUUGCACUAGCGGAAAAAUCCGCCGAAAAAGGGACACACACGAUAUAGUAGUGUCGGCUUCCCUCUCAUCCCUCCCUCCGCUGUGCGUGUAUUCAACAUUCCACAGUCUGCGCAGCAGACACACACCCCUCAGCCCUCAGUAAACAUCCAAUCACUGUUGCAGUAUGAAAGUAAAAGAAUAGGAAAAGUUGUCUACAUUUAUCAUAUACUUAUUAGGAUGGGUGUAUUUGUGUAGUCGUGUCUGUCAUUAACACGUUUAUCGUCGUGGACUUUUGGUGCUACGGAGUUCCUUUUUUUUUUUUUUUUUUUUUUACAACUUACAACGAGAGCAGUGACAGCGGAGGCUCUGAGCAGCAGUGGUUUGGAAGGCAGAGAGCCUCCACUGUCCCUGUAACAAACUACAAGUCAUUUAUGAUGCUGUUAAUGACGGUAAAAAUGAAACAUAAGGUAUAUAUCCUGCUUAGCAGUCCUCCUCUGCUGUCCUCUGUUCAGAGCGGAGUCCCUAGCAACGGCCCGUUUUACUUAGCAGCGGUCUGGCAAUCGACUGCUGGAAUUCUUUUUGUGUUGUUUUUAUUGUAAUUCUACAUAGUCAACCUUUAAUGUUUCAAUCUACAUUUUGUAAUAAACACAUAAGUUUCAUUUGAUAUGACCAAGACACCUAAAAACAAAAACACUGCCGUUUUCAUCAAUUUACAAGCAAGUGGGCAACACACAUACAUUGGAGUGAAUGAAUGUUAUGCCCAGAUGAGUGCCCAUGUCCACUGCAUGUGACAAACUGAAGACAAGUGACCUGUGUCUGACAAACCCCUACGUAAAGCCCCUCCCCAGGCUGUAGUCCUGUACUGUUGUUUUUUUUCUUCAUGGAAUCACAGCGUUUUUUUUCUGUUGUUGUUCAAGCUUACUUAUUUUCUGCUCCAGCUUCCAGCAGCUCACAAAGAGAAAGUUAAUGCUCUGUAAUGCAUCAAUUUUUCAGAGCAUUUAAAAAGUCUAGUCCUGCUCCUGCAUGUAGUAGUAGCAAUGAUGCUACUGCUAGUACAUCAGGGACAGCAGCUAGCAAUACUGCACCUUUAGCACCAGCAAGCACCUUUUCUCCUGCACCAGCUCCUGCCGUCCCGCCAACAAGCGCUCCCCCAAAGCAGCCUGCUCAGCUACCCAGUGACUUAAAUGGCAACGCACCAUCUCAGCCAAUACUGGGUGGCUACCCAAGGCGUGCAUUUGGUACAACAUUAAGAUCAUUCAAUCCUGCCUGGUACCGCACACGACCAUGGCUAGAGUAUUCUGUGGUGCGAGACGCCUGCUUCUGUUUCCCCUGUCGGAAAUAUGGCAGUGCUGUUAAUGUAUCCCCCCCUGAGGGAUUGCCACCUUAUUGUGGUCAGGGGGAUUGCGUGCUUCAGUGACCGUAAGAGCUAUACCAGCAGGAGCUUAGUCUUCAGGUGGGACACCCAUGUUGGACAGGUCUGAAGGUAGAGGCCUGACAAAGUGCAAUCCACUACUCCAGGUUGGGGUUGGACACAUAGCUAAAGACCCAUUUCAAUGAAGAAAGCAUCUUUAUUAUAAGCACAGGGAAAAAAAUGCUGGAGCAUGAUGUGUACACAUGAUGCCCUCUUCACAUUUCUGACUGCCCCCUCAUAUAAGCAUGCCUAGAACCGCCCCUGCUGCAAACUAAAGCGCUUCAAAAGGAGGAAAAAAUGAAGGCGAGGCACUAUGAAAUUGACAGAAAGUCUUGAACAAAAAACUUUAGCAAACGUAAAUCACUCUCUGAGGGAACAAAUAAAUCAAUGAAUAAAGCGAGACUAUACUUAUCAACUUGGUUCGAGGCUGUGGACAAAGGCUGGAGGUACGUGACGAGACGAUAUACUCUGGCAACAAGACAGGGGAAGACGAGGACUAUAUACACAUGAGGGAGGGUGACACAGGUGGGCACAAGCAGGCAAUCAGGAGAAACAUCAGACCAGUGACACAGGAGGAAGAGCAAGUGGCCUGAAACGAGAGGAGGAUUAGAAUUUUCAAAAUAAGACAGGAAGUUUGCCAGACAACCCCAAAACAGGACUUCCCUCACCACGGUGUGACACUUUACUAUUGUAGAUUUGUUAUUGUUGACUUUGGCUGCGUCAAGUCUUUGAGCUGUCUCUUUUAUUGCUUUAUAGUCGACUCAAGAUCAGAAUCAGCUUCAUUAGCUAAGUAUUUGAACCAAAAUUAAUUUCACUUGGUAGACUGUGCUCUUAGUUCAAUGCAAGAAACAAGAAUUAACGAUAAUGUCAUUGUCAGUAUUUAUCCAUGUGCUUGAUGUAUUUGACAACACGUACUUGGGAUUUUUCCCUUUCCUCCAUUUGAUUAGAUGUACAUUUUACAGUUGAUGCUUCAAAUGCCUGGAAUUGUUCUCUGCCCCUUGAGCCUGCUCGCUUUGUUGGCCAUGUCAGCGUUGCCUUUUGUCAGAUGCUCAUUGAUGCAGACGUUUGUUCCUUUCAGUUGACUCACUGCCUCAGCAAUGCAGCCUUAUUUUUUACGUGGUGAACUGUACGAUGAUGACGGUUGUGGUGUUAUUCCUGCUAGACAUUGGAAUGCAUGUGCCCAUGUCGUUCACAUCUACAGCUACAUAGGGCUGGGCGAUAUGGAAGAAAAAGUAUAUAUUGAUAAUAGGGGUGUAACGGUACGUGUAUUCGUAUUGAACCGUUUCGGUACGGGGAUUUCAGUCCGGUUCGGAGCUGCACCGAACGAGUUUCCACACGGACAUAUUAGGUAGCGUACCGCACGUUGUGUAAACAAUGCACACCGAGGCACAACACACAGCAUGCUAGCAGCGACCGGGCUACCGAUAGACUGAUCAUACCUCCUCUUUUCACCAGAUAUGUCCUCUUUUGCAGGGAUGUCUGGGUGGAGUUUCUUAAAUGCCUCAAAUGUCUGGUAUUUUAAGUUAAGGUUGCGUGUAUUUUCAAUGUACGUUCAGGGUUAAGAAGGGGUUAAAAACAAAACAAAUUGUGCACGCAGCAGCAUUUGUGAGGGAGGGGCAGAGACAGAGCGCAAGAGAGUUAUGAUAAACGCCCAUGCGUCGCCAGGCUCGGCUUUUUACCCAUAGAUUUAUCAGAUUUUAUUUUUUAUUAUCUAAAGCAGGGCUGCCCACAGCUAAUGUUUAAAAGGCCCACGGCACAUUCUAAAAAUACUAUUAAAAUAAACAAAAAUAUAACAAAAGUGAAAUAAAAAAGCUUAAAGGCUAAAUGUAAUUUAGAAAAAGCUGCAAUGUUGACUAAUAAAACAAAGCUGUUUUUUCUUUCAAACUGUCAUUGCUCAAAACAUAAUAUUGAAUCAAAAUCAAUGUUAUUAUGAAUUAUUGGCCGAUCCAAGGUUCCUAUUACUUCACAUCAAAUAUUCCACUAAGAAAAAUAUUUUUUGGUGGAAGAUUUUGCAAAUUUGGUAUAUAAGUAACCAAAAAAUGUAUAUUUGGUUGUUUUCUCACUGUGUCAAAAAUGAACCGAACCGUGACCUCUAAACCGAGGUAUGUACCUAACCGAAAUUUUUGUGUACCGUUA